GUUCCAGGUGGUGGGGAUUAGUUUUUCCUUUUCAGUUCUUCACCAGUCCACCAGAGGGAGCCAUCGGGUCACUCUGCUGGAGAGGCGUGCCCGCAGACUSUCAACUAUCCGCACCUGAGGGGAAUCAUCGUCUGGAGGAGUAUAUAACCAGCAGACAGCCAACACUUCCUUGCCAGAGUGUUUGCCAGUUUUUGGAACCCUUUGAGGCCCACCAGUCCAGGAGAAACCAUCUGUGACGCCUCUGCUGCCGGCUCUGCUGCUCCCCUGUGGGGACACACCUGACCUGCCACCCUCCAACGCCUGGUCCUUCCCCAACCUGCCUCCAUAGCUCUCUCCACUGUCUGGAACCCCGUUCCUCCACCCGUCAUUCUCCACUGGUUUUCCAAACKCACCCGGACUCCGGCCCGCUGACCUCUCUAGUCGAGCUUCCUUGUUUGAUUUUUUUGUAUUUUACAAUAAACACCCUUUAC